GACGUAGGGGGCCAGCGUUGUUCGGAAUUACUGGGCGUAAAGGGUUCGUAGGCGGUGUGGCAAGUCGGGAGUGAAAUUUCUGGGCUCAACUCAGAGACUGCUUCCGAAACUGCUGUGCUGGAGUGUGGGAGAGGCGCGUGGAAUUGCAGGUGUAGCGGUGAAAUGCGUAGAUAUCUGCAGGAACACCCGUGGCGAAAGCGGCGCGCUGGACCACUACUGACGCUGAGGAACGAAAGCUAGGGGAGCAAACAGG
rnacentral:rRNA from 1 species